rnacentral:rRNA from 1 species
UGGGGGAUGACGGCCUUCGGGUUGUAAACCUCUUUCGACCCCGACGAAGGGUGACUGACGGUAGGGGUAUAAGAAGCACCGGCCAACUACGUGCCAGCAGCCGCGGUAAUACGUAGGGUGCGAGCGUUGUCCGGAAUUAUUGGGCGUAAAGAGCUCGUAGGCGGUGUGUCGCGUCGAUCGUGAAAACCUGCGGCUUAACCGUGGGCGUGCGGUCGAUA